UACGUAGGGUCCAAGCGUUAAUCGGAAUUACUGGGCGUAAAGCGUGCGCAGGCGGUUGUGCAAGACCGAUGUGAAAUCCCCGAGCUUAACUUGGGAAUUGCAUUGGUGACUGCACGGCUAGAGUGUGUCAGAGGGGGGUAGAAUUCCACGUGUAGCAGUGAAAUGCGUAGAGAUGUGGAGGAAUACCGAUGGCGAAGGCAGCCCCCUGGGAUAAUACUGACGCUCAUGCACGAAAGCGUGGGGAGCAAACAGG
rnacentral:rRNA from 1 species